rnacentral:rRNA from 1 species
CAGUCGCCGCGGGAAUACGUAGGUGGCAAGCGUUGUCCGGAAUUAUUGGGCGUAAAGCGCGCGCAGGUGGUUUAAUAAGUCUGAUGUGAAAGCCCACGGCUCAACCGUGGAGGGUCAUUGGAAACUGUUAAACUUGAGUGCAGGAGAGAAAAGUGGAAUUCCUAGCGUAGCGGUGAAAUGCGUAGAGAUUAGGAGGAACACCAGUGGCGAAGGCGGCUUUUUGGCCUGUAACUGACACUGAGGCGCGAAAGCGUGGGGAGCAAACAGGAUUAGAUACCCCCGUAGUCCCUGUCUCUUAUAU